GUACACUCCUGCGGGAGGCAGCAGUAGGGAAUCUUCGGCAAUGGGGGCAACCCUGACCGAGCAACGCCGCGUGAGUGAAGAAGGUUUUCGGAUCGUAAAGCUCUGUUGUAAGUCAAGAACGAGUGUGAGAGUGGAAAGUUCACACUGUGACGGUAGCUUACCAGAAAGGGACGGCUAACUACGUGCCAGCAGCCGCGGUAAUACGUAGGUCCCGAGCGUUGUCCGGAUUUAUUGGGCGUAAAGCGAGCGCAGGCGGUUUGAUAAGUCUGAAGUUAAAGGCUGUGGCUCAACCAUAGUUCGCUUUGGAAACUGUCAAACUUGAGUGCAGAAGGGGAGAGUGGAAUUCCAUGUGUAGCGGUGAAAUGCGUAGAUAUAUGGAGGAACACCGGUGGCGAAAGCGGCUCUCUGGUCUGUAACUGACGCUGAGGCUCGAAAGCGUGGGGAGCGAACAGGAUUAGAUACCCCAGUAGUCCCA
rnacentral:rRNA from 1 species